ACACCGUUGGUGAAACGGUAUCAUGCGUCGUUGCCAUGUGCAACACUCGACGCGGCAGGGGUUCGACUCCCUUACGGUGUA